AACGCACGAGACCUGCGGACCUGCGGAGGGAUCAUUACAGUGGUGAUCGCCCCUUCGGGGUGCGGCCGCCCGAGAUAGAACCCUUUGCCUUUAGAGUACCAUUCGUUUCCUCGGCAGGCUCGCCUGUCAGUGGACACCAACCAAACCUUUUUGAUAAAGCAGUAAACGUCUAUAUACCAAUAUAUCAAAACUUUCAACAAUGGAUCUCU
rnacentral:misc_RNA from 1 species